rnacentral:rRNA from 1 species
AUUGAACGCUGGCGGCAUGCCUUACACAUGCAAGUCGAACGGCAGCACGGGUGCUUGCACCUGGUGGCGAGUGGCGAACGGGUGAGUAAUAUAUCGGAACGUACCUUAUUGUGGGGGAUAACGCAGCGAAAGCUGUGCUAAUACCGCAUAAUCCCUAAGGGGGAAAGCGGGGGACCGUAAGGCCUCGCGCAAUUAGAGCGGCCGAUACCUGAUUAGCUAGUUGGUGAGGUAAAGGCUCACCAAGGCAACGAUCAGUAGCUGGUCUGAGAGGACGAUCAGCCACACUGGGACUGAGACACGGCCCAGACUCCUACGGGAGGCAGCAGUGGGGAAUUUUGGACAAUGGGGGCAACCCUGAUCCAGCAAUGCCGCGUGGGUGAAGAAGGCCUUCGGGUUGUAAAGCUCUUCUGUCAGGGAAGAAACAGCAGCUCUAACACAGUUUGCGAAUGACGGUACCUGAAGAAUAAGCACCGGCUAACUACGUGCCAGCCGCCGCUGUAA